rnacentral:rRNA from 1 species
GACGAACGCUGGCGGCGUGCUUAACACAUGCAAGUCGAACGGCAGGGCCCUUCGGGGUACACGAGUGGCGAACGGGUGAGUAACACGUGGGUGAUCUGCCCUGCACUUCGGGAUAAGCCUGGGAAACUGGGUCUAAUACCGGAUAGGACUCCGGACUGCAUGGUCUGGGGUGGAAAGCUUUUGCGGUGUGGGAUGGGCCCGCGGCCUAUCAGCUUGUUGGUGGGGGGAUGGCCUACCAAGGCGACGACGGGUAGCCGGCCUGAGAGGGUGACCGGCCACACUGGGACUGAGAUACGGCCCAGACUCCUACGGGAGGCAGCAGUGGGGAAUAUUGCACAAUGGGCGCAAGCCUGAUGCAGCGACGCCGCGUGAGGGAUGACGGCCUUCGGGUUGUAAACCUCUUUCAGCAUCGACGAAGCGAAAGUGACGGUAGGUGCAGAAGAAGGACCGGCCAACUACGUGCCAGCAGCCGCGGUAA